rnacentral:lncRNA from 1 species
AUGUUUCCAUUACAAAAGGAGGAGCCAACAAGGAGAGGUGUGCUGCUGGACCUCGUACUAACAAACAAAGAAGGACUGGUUGAAGAUGUGAAGGUCGGGGGCAGCCUUGGCUGCAGUGACCAUGAGAUGGUGGAGUUCAGGAUCCUACGAGGAGGCAGAAGGUCACUAAGUAGGAUCGUAACCCUGGACUUCAGGAGAGCAAACUUUGGCCUCUUCAGAGACAUACUUGGAGGAAUCCCAUGGGUUAGGGCCCUAGAAGGAAGGGGUGUUCAAGAGAGCUGGUUAAUAUUCAAACAUCACUUCCUCCAGGCUCAAGAGCGGUGCAUCCCAAUGAGUAGGAAGUCAAGCAAAGGAGGUAGGAGACCUGCAUGGAUGAGCAAGGAGCUCCUGGCAAAACUCAACCAGAAGAAGGAGGUAUACAGAAAGUGGAAAGGGGGACAGGCCACUUGGGAGGAAUAUAGGAACGUUGUCAGAGUAUGCAGGGAUGCGAUGAGGAAGGCUAAGGCCCAUUUGGAAUUAAAUCUGGCAAGAGAUGUCAAGGACAACAAGAAGGGCUUCUUCAAAUACAUCAGUAGCAAGAGGAAGACUAGGGAAAAUGUGGGCCCUUUGCUGAACAGGGUGGGUGCCCUGGUGACGAAGGAUGCAGAGAAGGCAGAGUUACUGAAUGCCUUCUUUGCUUCAGUCUUUACUGGUCAGGCCAGCCCUCAGGAACCCCAGAGCCUGGAGGCAAGAGAGAAAGCCUGGAGAAAGGAAGACUUUCCCUUGGUGGAGGAGGAUCGGGUUAGAGAUCAUUUAAGCAAACUUGACACCCACAAAUCCAUGGGCCCCGAUGGGAUGCACCCACGAGUGCUGAGGGAGCUGGCAGAUGUUAUUGCUAAGCCACUCCCCAUCAUCUUUGAGAGGUGCUUGAAGACUGGAAGAAGGCCAAUGUCACUCCAGUCUCCAAAAAGGGCAAGAAGGAGGACCCAGGAAACUACAGGCCAGUCAGCCUCACCUCCAUCCCUGGAAAGGUGA